AAGGAUAAUAUACGGAAUAUCACCAUCAGGUGAUAAGCGAAUUAACGUGACAUAUUGUAUUCAGUUUUGAAUGCUCAUUCAUUUGAGGRUUCAGAAUGAAUUGUACAUUGAAAACUAGAUAAGUAAGUAUAGAUUUUACCAAGCAAAACCGAGUGACAAGCGUUUAAAAGCUUGAAACAAAAAAUUAUCGCUAGUCGUCAAAUGACGACUCACAUAAUUAAUAACUGGUGAUGGUAAACAUCGUAUUUUUGAUUGUACAAACGUUUAUGAAAACGCUUGUCAGUCAACGCAUUUCUUGAUGAGCGCAGUGAAGUUUACUUCUCGUAAAUGAACAAGCGAAGAAAGAAAUAAGAUAGAAUGCGAGCGUUUAUCAUAACGUUUA
rnacentral:misc_RNA from 1 species